rnacentral:lncRNA from 1 species
GGAUUGACAGGGCAUGCCCCAGCAUUCCGGAAAUGCCGUGGAAAGCAGCGAAACUUCAGCUCCAGGUGGCCUGGAGGCGUGGCACACGAGAACGAGGGGGAGGUGUUCACCGCAGAGGGGUCGUCCCAAAUCUAGGACCCGCUGUUCCCCCUAGCCUCGCAGAAGCCAAGCAGGCCGUGGUUCUGGAAGCUUCUCAGUCUUGCCUCUCAUUAAAGUCCGAGGGUGGUUAUAAACUCCAACUGUCAAGAUUAUGAAUUCCUUAAGUCAGAGACAUUCUAUCCUUCUCUGUCAGUACCUGACACAUUGAACCAUGAUGUGGGGUGAAGAAGUUCCCUUCGCAGUUAUGAAGGGAAACCUUCCAGCUUGUAAACUGUCUCCUUGACUUAUGAGGGACUGUUCCAGAAAAAGUCAGAGGAGAACUUCCAUUCAGGUAAGUUGGAGGCAUUGGAAACAAGCAGGUAAAACGUUCUUCUUUUGAUCUUUUAUACAUUGGAGCUACUCACGCAGAAAGAUUUUUUAAGCAAAUAACUGCAUUUUGCACCUACCAUCUUUUUUCUGCCAGGUUUAACCCACACAUAUGUAGAUAUAAUUUACUCAGGGAAUUCUGGAACUCUUAAAUUGUUUAUAUUCAAUUAAGAAAUGUUUAUCUUUAUCAAUUCCCUCAUCUUCCACAUAUUUUCAUACAAAAUAAUUAUUGGAUAGUAUAGGGAGUUUGAGAUCAUUUUAAUGAUCAAAGAGGCCUGAGUAUGAUUUUUCAUUUUUUGAAGGAAGGAAUUUGUGCUUAAGUCUGACAUUCAUUUAGGUACUGAUGAUUUUAAAAUUUUGUAUAUUCAAGUGAGUAUUGUCUUUUCUUGUUAAUGUUUAUUUAACAAUGUCAUCAUUUCUCAAAGUAUUUUAUUUUCCUUACUUUAGGCCAUAAGGAAAGCAAGAUGGGCAUGGUGGCUUAUACCUGUAUUCCCAGAACUUUGGGAGGUGGAGGUAGGUGGAUUGCUUGAGCCUAGGAGUUUGAGAGCAGCCUGCGCAACAAAGUGAGACCCCCUGUCUCUAUUUUGUUUUUUUAAAUAAGGUAAGUUUAAAAAGAAAAAAAGGAAAGAAAGAAAGCAAAGCAGACUUGUGGUAGGGCACACUGGCUCACAGCAUUUUGGGAGGCCAAAGUGGGAGGAUCCCUUGAGCCCAGGAGACCUGUCUGGACAACACAGGGAGCUCCUAUCUCUAAAAACAAAAUAAAUAAAAUAAGAUUUUUUAAAAAGCAGACUUGUAUCUUUAUAGUAACACCUCAUAUACCCCAGAAUUCUGAAGACAAGAUGAGCAGUCAGGCCAAGUACAGACUUAGGGCCAUACUCCCUCUCCAUGUUUUUUUAAAUUCACAAUUAGUGUUCUUUCAACAUGAAUAGACUAAAAUAUCUCAGUUUUCUGACACAAAAAGGAACAUGAAUUAUUGACCUUAUUUAACCAGAGGAAACAUAUGGUGUCAUUUAACACUAACUCUAGAUUUGGAUCAAAUUUUAGAAUGAGCAAUGCCUCUGAUUGAACUAAGCAUCUCCUGCAGCAAAGGAGUCAUGCAAAGCCUCAUCUACUCAACUGAGAACAGAACAGGCCAAAAUUUAACUUUAUAUUCCCUGGGAUUCUGCAGGUUAUUAAAAUACUUGUUUAAAUGGAUGAAUACACUUUACGAAAGUCACAAUAUUUUCAUAUACAACAUUUGGAAAUGAGCUAAUUGCUGUUCAUGUGUGUCUCAAAUGACAGACAGUACAGCCCCCUCAGAGAUUCCCAUAGCAAUGGCCUACAGACUUUGCAAAGUCAUAGACUAACAGGGAUGCAGGUUUUUUUUGGAGGAUCAAUUUUGCUGAAUGGUGACUAGUCUAAAAUAUUUUAUAUUAAAAACCAAACAAAAUGCAACAUUUGUAUGAAUUUUUAAGAUCAAACAGGAAAUUUGGAUGAAAUUUUUGUUUGCAGUACCAGCAUCAUCUCUCCGAUAGCCCGCUCACCCUCAGGAUAAAUAUUCACUUCCUUUUCUUCAGGAUUGUUUGGUGGAAGUUUAAGAUACUCUCUAACCUAAUAUGUUGACAUUAGUCACAGCUCACUGACCUUGAGGAAAACUAGCUAACCUUGACCUGUGUUAUGGUCUUUAUCAUUCUGGUUCUUCCCUAGGCCUUCCAUUCGUCUCCCAGGUUGGCUAACUCUAAAACAGGGUCAACUAAAGCUUACUUACAUUCC